GAUGAAGAACGUAGUGAAAUGCGAUAAUUAAUGUGAAUUGCAGAAUUCAGUGAAUCAUCGAGUCUUUGAACGCACAUUGCGCCCCCUGGUAUUCCGGGGGGCAUACCUGUCCGAGCGUCAUUGCUGCCCUCAAGCACGGCUUGUGUGUUGGGCUUCCGUCCCUGGCAACGGGGACGGGCCCAAAAGGCAGUGGCGGCACCAUGUCUGGUCCUCGAGCGUAUGGGGCUUUGUCACCCGCUCCCGUAGGUCCAGCUGGCAGCUAGCCUCGCAACCAAUCUUUUUUACCAGGUUGACCUCGGAUCAGGUAGGGAUACCCGCUGAACUUAAGCAUAUCAAUAAGCGGAGGA
rnacentral:misc_RNA from 1 species